rnacentral:rRNA from 1 species
UACGUAGGGUGCAAGCGUUAAUCGGAAUUACUGGGCGUAAAGCGUGCGCAGGCGGUUUUGUAAGUCUGUCGUGAAAUCCCCGGGCUCAACCUGGGAAUGGCGAUGAAGACUGCAAGGCUAGAAUCUGGCAGAGGGGGGUAGAAUUCCACGUGUAGCAGUGAAAUGCGUAGAGAUGUGGAGGAACACCAGUGGCGAAAGCGGCUUUCGUGGUCCUUAACUGACGCUGAGGCGCGAAAGCAUGGGGAGCGAACGGG